rnacentral:rRNA from 1 species
GUCCACGCCGUAAACGAUGGGCACUAGGUGUGGGGGUGUCGACUCCCUCCGUGCCGAAGCUAACGCAUUAAGUGCCCCGCCCUGGGGAGGUACGGCCGCAAGGCUAAAACUCAAAGGAAUUGACGGGGGCCCGGCACAAGCAGCGGAGCAUGUGGUUUAAUUCGAAGCAACGCGAAGAACCUUACCUGGGCUUGACAUGUGCCUGACCGCCGUGGAAACACGGCUUCCCUUCGGGGCAGGUUCACAGGUGGUGCAUGGCUGUCGU